rnacentral:rRNA from 1 species
AUGGGAGUUCAGACAAUGUCGUCCCUCGGCGGCGGCGGCGGCGGGGGCGGCGGGGGAGGGGCCCUGUCCCGGCAGGGGUCGGUCUACGGCCUCACGCUCAACGAGGUGGAGAGCCACCUGGGCGAGCCGCUGCGGAGCAUGAACCUGGAGGACCUCCUGCGCACGGUGCUCCCCGCCGACGACGCGGAGCCGCGCGGAACCGGGACGGGCAAGAAGACGGUGGACGAGGUGUGGCGCGACAUCGAGAGCGCCGGCCGCGGCCGGCAGCCGACGGUGGGCGAGAUGACGCUGGAGGACUUCCUCUCGCGCGCCGGCGUGCCCGUCGGCGGCGGGGGCUGCGCCGGCGCGCAUUGGCUGCACCAGUACCACCCGCCGCAGCAGUACGUGACCCGGCCCCUGCCGCGGCCCCUCGGCGUGGGCGCCGGCCCCGUGCUGGACGCCGUGUACCAGGGCGGGUUCCUCUCGCAGGCCGGCGGGCGGAAGCGCGGCGCCGCGGUCGUGGGCGGGGACGGCGUCGUGGAGAAGACGGUGGAGCGGCGGCAGAAGCGGAUGAUCAAGAACCGCGAGUCGGCGGCGAGGUCCCGGGCCAGGAAGCAGGCCUACACGAACGAGCUGGAGAACAAGAUCUCGCGGCUGGAGGAGGAGAUCGAGCAUCUGAAGGAGCUCAAGAAGCUGGAACCGGUGAUGCAGUUCCUGCCGCAGCAGGAGGCGGGGGAGAGGCAGCAGCAGCUCCGGCGGCACGCGGUGCUCUACAUGCCCCAGCCGGAGGCGGAGCCGAAGCAGCACCGGCACCAGCUCCGGCGGAUCAACUCGGCCUCCUUCUGA